GGCUGAGACUCCAGGCUGGGAAGAGUCCAGGGAAGAUGAGCCUGCUGAGCUGCGGCUGGGAAAGGAGCAGAAGGAGGGUAAGCUCAGCUCACUAAGGUCCCCACGAAGGAGUUCGGCAGGACGACAUGGAGCCACGUGUGGACCCCAACAGCACUCAUGUGUGCACCCACAGUCACAGAGCAAGGUGCAAAUUCCUGGCAUCUUUACUAGUUGCAGCCAAUUUCGGCGAUUUCGGCGGUGACGGGGAUUCUCAGAGGAGUCGCUUGCCCGCGCGCGCCCGCCUGUCGGCCUCAGAGAACACAGCCCUGACACCUCCUCCGGGAAGCCCGCCGGCCCGACUCCGGUUUGGAAGGAGAGGCUCAGGGAGUGGGACGGAGGGUAUCUCCCUUUCCCCAGCGUCCACGCCUAGACGCCCCCUACCUCCAACAAUGGAGGUUAGAGGGGCCUGUGGGAGUACGGGGAUUACAUUCAGCUCUCCUGUACCACCUUCUCUCCCCAAAAGGUGGCCUUUUUCUCAUCUUCCUUCAACUCCUUGACUUUCCAGAGGAAACGGAGGAAUCUGUGGGAAGGGGAGCCCGCUUCCUGUCCUUUUUAAAGAAAUUUUGGCUCCUAGGCCCCCCAGAGCCCACCCACACCCCAUUGCAAAGCCAGAUUAACCCAUCUGCACCUUAGGAAAG
rnacentral:lncRNA from 13 species